rnacentral:misc_RNA from 1 species
UCAAACUUGGUCAUUUAGAGGAAGUAAAAGUCGUAACAAGGUUUCCGUAGGUGAACCUGCGGAAGGAUCAUUAACGAGUUUUUGAAAGGGGUUGUAGCUGGCCGAAAAACAAGGCAUGUGCACACCCUGCUCAAUCCACUCUUAACCCCUGUGCACUUACUGUAGGCUUUGGUGGGAUGGCUGACUUCGGUUGGCUUGAAAGCCUUGCCUAUGUCUAUUACAAACACUAAAGUAUAAGAAUGUAACAUAGCGUCUAACGCAUUAAAUACAACUUUCAGCAACGGAUCUCUUGGCUCUCGCAUCGAUGAAGAACGCAGC